AUCACGUCGCUCCGCCUCCGUCCUCUCCCGCCCCGAAGGGGGCGUGGCUUUCUGACGGCGUCCCUCAUCUCCCAGGAAACGCAGGUCUGGUCUGAUCUUGGACUUAGAGGAUUCCUGGGCCCACUCCAGAGCUGACCAAUGGGCGUUUUCGAGUCGGCAAGCACGUCUAAGUGCUCACUGCUGUUUGGAAACCACGGACCUGUACGGGUCCCCAGAGGGCCUCAGUCCUGGGUCUGGGGAUCCGCGCCGCAUUUGACUGCCUGCACUGGGCUCUCAAGGCCUAUAUGGAGUGUGGGGGUGCGGGUCCAAGCUAAGUUGUACACAGCGCCUGGAAUUUACAGAAGGAACCAACUGGGCUUGGCAACUUCCCACAUCCAAAAAUCUCCACCCCACAGAAGUCAUCCUCAGAACACCCCAUCUAAUGGGAACUGGAAGAUGAGUAGCACAGCUAUGGGGAGGAGAACGUAAGUUCAGGUGCGGAGAUGUGUCGAGCGGAAGAUGUGGGCAGCACGUGUGGAUGGCCGUGUCAGCCGCUGUGUGGAAAUGCUGCCUCCUGCUCCACAACGCCUUCUUCAUUCCAUGAGAGCAGGUCCUUCCCAGCAAUCACCAAGUGCCAGUGGGACUUGCCCACUGAGAAGCAGAAGGGAGGGAACCGAGGGCAACCCAGGGCCCUACUAACUGGUCGCACGCAACAGUCUGGGCAGCAUUUCCAGCGGGGGCUGUGGUGUGGCUGCAAGGGGUCCCAGAGUAGGUAAGAGCGCCCAGGGUGGCUGGAGGACCAAAUACAUGCUACUGUUGCUCACAUUAGGGGUACUGUGAGAGCAACAAAAUACGCAUUCACUACAGAACAGCCACCUCCUCUAGGUACAACCUCUGCCCAAGCCAUGAAUGCUGUCAAGUUGGUCCACGUUUUCUUGACAUUAGGAAAACAUCAUUCCACCUGGAAACCUGCGCCUAAAAUGAGUGGCAGAGAGAGCAGCUCUCCAAAACAAAGAUUUUAUUUGGAAAUGACAGGAGACCGUGAUCCCUGAUCCGAAUGCUGUGGUGGGCCAUGGUGGACAAGGGUAUUUAAACAGAAAACAAGAAAGAUCACGUCAGGUGUUUGGAAGUGCUUAGUCGGGCAUGGUGGACAUGCCUGUAAUCCCAGCACUCACGAAGCUGAGGCAGGAGGAUGGUUGCGAGUUCAAGACCAGCCUGGGCUACAAGCUUUCAGGAAAUCAUUCCAGUCCACCGCAGGAGAGGGGGAGACAGGACACUUUCUAAGCAGACCCGGGAGGGCAAGCCAGAGACGGCCUUGUAGCCACUGGAGAGAAACAGGAGGACUGGUAUGCUGCUGUGGCACUGGAAUGGGAGGAUGGGAAGCAAGAUGAAAUUCCCUGUACACUGAUCAGCUUCCAGCUGCACUGGCUACACUGCAAAUACUUGGUAACCACAAGCAUCUUCUUAGACCAUGCAGACGGAACAGUUCCAGCCUGCCAGCAAGUCCUACAGAACGGUGCUAUCCACAGACCCCAAAAGCUGCCUGCAGGAGACCAGAAUGUGUGGCUCCGAGGCAUGCAUGCGUGGCAUACUUUGAGCUGGUUUCUCUCAGAGCAUGUAGAAGCAGCUCUGCAGAGAUGUCUCCGUAAAAGAAAGUGGUAUCUGCAAAGGAAACUUCCCAUUCAUGAAGCACCUGUGUCAGGUGAGAUGGCUCCAUUCAACACUGGCCUCCUGAGACUUUCUCAGUGCAAAGAAGACAGGCUGGUCAUGACGCCACCCUCCCGUCACUUGCUGUGCCCCAGCCUGCCCCAAACCUCUCUUCUUUGCCAUAGCGCUGCACACUACAUAAUCUUUCAUCUUUUGAACCUUCUCCGACUGCGUGAACAUCUGUAAUUAAAUGUGGAUCUUCUCCUGUUCAUCAGCAGAGUGUCCAUUCACUUCCUAGACUGGACGAAACCUCAGAGGGGAGAGGGAAAGUUUUCUGCACUCUGCAAGACUGUUCCGGGGAGAGCAUCGGAACCAUGGACUAAGCCUGGAUCUUGGUGGCUUCCUCCCCAGCCCGGCAGCCUCUGGCUGGAGGCUACUUCUCUCCACAGAGAGAGAUUCCUGGGCCCUCUGCUCUCCCCACAACCCUCCUGCCACACUCCCUGAUCUUGCCCACGUUUGCAUCCAGUGAUUUUACACAUUUCCUGGAUACCAAAGAAUAUGGUGGGGGUGGUGAUAUACUAGUCUGCUUCCCCAACCUAAUGGAACGGAACCAGAGACUUCAAACAUGGUAAUUCGGAGAAAACAUGGCAGCAAUACAUGGACGGCCUUGGGGCAGUCUGGUCUGUGGCAGGGAAGCCCUGCCUGAAGAAGGGACAUUUCUGCUGCCUCCUGAGUGAAGACCCCAGAGUGUACAUUGCAGAGAAGCAACACUCAGAAGGCAGCCUCAGGGGCAGUGAGCUUGGCAUCCGAGGAGCAGAAAGACCAUUUGCAGGCGGGGCAAGAUGGUUGGGAAAUAGGGUGCAAAGGCAGGCGGGAGCCGGGCCCCGAGGGGUGCUGGAGGUGGGAGCGGUAGGCAGGCCGAGUGGACUCAGUUCAGCUGGGGGUUUCCCACAGGGAACCGACGUGUCUCUGUGCAAGUGCAUAAGCCCAUACCCGGGUGUGGGGUCACAUGCCUGUAAUUUCAGGCCUCGCUGUGAGUUUGGGGCCAGCCUGAGCGAGAUAGCAAGAACCUGUCUCCAAACAACGGCCACAACAAAAAAAGCCCACACCAAACUGGACGCUUCCGCUUUUCCCCAAACAUGGGCUCCGGCAUUUAUGACUCUGCACUCCAAAGCCCUGAUCCUGCAUGACUGUUUGGGAUUGGGGUCCCCCCUUCCUCUGUCUGUCUCCCUUUCUGUCUCCCUCUCCCACUCCUCUCCUAUGCCCAUGAGACAUGCAGCAGAGAAGCAGCGGGUAACUUAGUCACUUCCAGGACACAGUGAAGCCUUGGGCCAGGAAGGAUCCACGGCAUGCGAUCCCAGAACCCAGAAAACUGGAGGCUUUGGAGGACUCGAGCCCACAUCUACCUGAAGCAGCAUCUGCUUGUGUGUGGGGAAGUCAUGGUGCACACCUGCCUCACGCGGCUGUGAUAGUGGACAUUACACACCCAGCUGAAUGCGGAAGCAAAAGCCCUUUGCAUCCUGAGGUCAACUGAAAUGAGCAAGAAUGCCCAACCCACCCCCAGUGCCCAAAUCAGUGAAGCCUGGCUGGUGAGCCCCAGGUCUUAGUGAAAACCUUGCCUUCCAUGGAGGUGAAUACCAACAAAUACAUGCAGAGAGGGGGCGACCUUUGCAGACAGCAGAAUGACUGAGUUUGUCCCAAGAACGGCUGUACCCUUGCACACUACUUUGUUUCGCCCUUUUCCUACUUGUACAGUCAGGUCUCCUGAAGUCAGGACACCCUUGGAAACCUUCUUUAGAAAGUUAUUUCUCUUGCUCUUCUCAGAACACCUCUGGGUCUGGCUCAUGGCCUGGGACGCUGUCGGAGAAGAGCACAGUACCUGGCCAUUGCUUCGUGGGUGAAAGGGGUGAGAGGGCAAUGGGACACACACUGGGCAUCUCAGCCAGUGAUGGGACAGAGAGUUGUCACUGCUUUGUUCAUUGUCAUGAAUUCUGUUCGUGCCUUCUUUGUUCCUCUUUCUGCUAAAUAAAGAUAUUCAUACAUAA